rnacentral:rRNA from 1 species
AUUGAACGCUGGCGGCAUGCUUUACACAUGCAAGUCGAACGGUAACAGGCCGCAAGGUGCUGACGAGUGGCGAACGGGUGAGUAAUGCAUCGGAACGUGCCCAGCCGUGGGGGAUAACGCAGCGAAAGCUGUGCUAAUACCGCAUACGAUCUAUGGAUGAAAGCGGGGGACCGUAAGGCCUCGCGCGAUUGGAGCGGCCGAUGUCAGAUUAGGUAGUUGGUGGGGGAAAGGCCCACCAAGCCAACGAUCUGUAGCUGGUCUGAGAGGACGACCAGGCACAAUGGGACUGAGACACGGCCCAGACUCCUACGGGAGGCAGCAGUGGGGAAUUUUGGACAAUGGGCGCAAGCCUGAUCCAGCAAUGCCGCGUGCAGGAAGAAGGCCUUCGGGUUGUAAACUGCUUUUGUACGGAACGAAAAGGUUUGGGUUAAUACCCUGGGCCGAUGACGGUACCGUAAGAAUAAGCACCGGCUAACUACGUGCCAGCCGCCGCGGUAA